UGGGGAAUAUUGGACAAUGGGCGAAAGCCUGAUCCAGCCAUGCCGCGUGUGUGAAGAAGGUCUUCGGAUUGUACAGCACUUUAAGUUGGGAGGAAGGGCAGUAAGCGAAUACCUUGCUGUUUUGACGUUACCGACAGAAUAAGCACCGGCUAACUCUGUUCCAGCAGCCGCGGUAAUACAGAGGGUGCAAGCGUUAAUCGGAAUUACUGGGCGUAAAGCGCGCGUAGGUGGUUCGUUAAGUUGAAUGUGAAAGCCCCGGGCUCAACCUGGGAACUGCAUCCAAAACAGGCGAGCUAGAGUAGGGCAGAGGGGGGUGGAGUUUCCUGUGUAGCGGUGAAAUGCGUAGAUAUAGGAAGGAACACCAGUGGCGAAGGCGACCACCUGGGCUCAUACUGACACUGAGGUGCGAAAGCGUGGGGAGCAAACAGG
rnacentral:rRNA from 1 species